rnacentral:rRNA from 1 species
CGAACGGGUGAGUAACACGUGAGUAACCUGCCCUUGACUCUGGGAUAAGCCUGGGAAACUGGGUCUAAUACCGGAUAUGACUCCUCAUCGCAUGGUGGGGGGUGGAAAGCUUUUUGUGGUUUUGGAUGGACUCGCGGCCUAUCAGCUUGUUGGUGGGGUAAUGGCCCACCAAGGCGACGACGGGUAGCCGGCCUGAGAGGGUGACCGGCCACACUGGGACUGAGACACGGCCCAG